rnacentral:rRNA from 1 species
CCUGAACGCUGGCGGCGUGGUUAAGACAUGCAAGUCGAACGGAUGUAGCAAUACAUCAGUGGCGGACGGGUGAGUAAUGUAUCGCUAAUGUACCCCGGAGACAGGGAUAGCUGCCCGAAAGGGCAGGUAAUCCCAGAUGAUAUAACCUUAUCGCAUGAUGAGGUUCUCAAAUGUAGCAAUAUGCUCUGGGAGCAGGCGAUAUCGUACAG